UACGUAGGGGGCUAGCGUUGCCCGGAUUUAUUGGGCGUAAAGAGCGUGUAGGCGGCCAGGUAGGUCCGCUGUGAAAGUCCGAGGCUCAACCUCGGAAUGUCGGCGGAAACCCUCUGGCUAGAGUCCGGAAGAGGAGAGUGGAAUUCCCGGUGUAGCGGUGAAAUGCGCAGAUAUCGGGAAGAACACCCGUGGCGAAGGCGGCUCUCUGGAACGGUACUGACGCUGAGACGCGAAAGCGUGGGUAGCAAACGGG
rnacentral:rRNA from 1 species